CUGCAAGCAGAACAGGGAGAGGAUUUUGCCAACUAAGAACUUUACCAGAAGAAGACUUGGAUCAAGAGACUCCAUAGUCCUGACCUGAAGGGAGGAGAGGGGAAAGAGAUUCAAGUUCAGUAGAUGCUGCCUUUCCUUCCAACAGAUCAGAAUUCAGCACAGAUAUCUGUUUGGAAUUAAGUUUCUACAGUAGCCAUAGACAUUUCCUCAUGCAGUAUUAUGCCUGGAAGUUACCAAAUGAUGACACCACAAUUGUCACAAGUUAUGCCAAACAAAGUUAAUAAAAGAUGCUCCUGGCUAUUGUUCUAA